rnacentral:piRNA from 1 species
GUACAUACCGACAUACACACA